GCGACGUAAUAGUUUUUGUUUUGUUUUAAUUAUUGAUAACAUUUUGAAUUUGAAUAGGUAGGUACACAAUUCUUGUGAUUAUUAUUAUAACCUGCCGGUUUGUUGUUUGUACACGGGAUAACACGUUCAAGUAUUUCGUGAUGUUACAGACGAUUUCGGAACGUCAUUUUCGCCUUUUACGAGGGUGAACUUUUUCUUAUACAAUCGCACUCAACAACUGGGAUUCACGUCUAACAUAAUAACAACAAUAGGUUCGUGUUAUCUGCGUUCGUUUGACUUGCACUUGUCGUUAUACAAAAAAAAAAAAAUCAAAAACCGAUGACGCGUUCGUUUAUACCUAUAGUAUAAUUGUAUGGUAAACACGUAUAUUUACUAUCUUUUAUCAGAUGAAUUUUAUUAAAUAAUUGAUUGGAAUUUAGUACUUUUUAAAAACCCCACAACUAUAUAAGACAUUCACGAAAGUCAGAUUUAAGUGCAACAUUUUUGUUUUCUAGACACGAAGUAUCCAUUAUUUCGGGAAAUUCGUUAGGGGUGGAGAGGUUACUUGAAUUUCGUCCUUAUAAUAUGUAUGUACAUUGGAUUUUCAUUUUCCCGGGUGUGCACAAUUAUCA